UGAAUUAAAAAUAAAUAAAAAUAGGGUUCAUCUUCACCAAUACAUUAAAGGAAUUAGCUUAACAUGAUGUUGGAAUUAAACACAUAAAAGAGGAAGGAAAUCACCAAAAAUUGACGAGACGUUAUUAAUUUACAAAUUCUUGCACAAUUAUUGAAGAAUAAUUGCACAAAAAAUACAGCCGCAAUGUCCGAUUCUUUCUUCUGCCACCACCAAUUGGUUGUUUAUAUCGUUGGCUCCCUUUUCAAUAUGCGUGUGUUGUGUAUAUAUCUACUAAAUCACAGCCGCCCAAUGUGUGUAUCUAUAAUUCAGCGGUAAGCCACGUUCCAGCAGCUCUUUUUAUCUUGUCUUUCUCCACCAACGGUCGUUCCUCUAUGUCUCUGAAUUCCUCCUUUUUUUGUGCUUUAAUUCCCUCCAAAUUCCCCCACUAGCCUAAUGUUUUUC
rnacentral:lncRNA from 1 species